rnacentral:sRNA from 1 species
AGCAAAUGGCGGAUGACGCCGGUGCAGCGGGGGGGCCCGGAGGCCCUGGUGGCCCGGGGAUGGGGAACCGCGGUGGCUUCCGCGGAGGUUUCGGCAGUGGCAUCCGGGGCCGGGGUCGCGGCCGUGGACGGGGCCGGGGCCGAGGCCGCGGAGCUCGCGGAGGCAAGGCCGAGGAUAAAGAGUGGAUGCCCGUCACCAAGUUGGGCCGGUUGGUCAAGGACAUGAAGAUCAAGUCCCUGGAAGAGAUCUAUCUCUUCUCCCUGCCCAUUAAGGAAUCAGAGAUCAUUGAUUUCUUCCUGGGGGCCUCUCUCAAGGAUGAGGUUUUGAAGAUUAUGCCAGUGCAGAAGCAGACCCGUGCCGGCCAGCGCACCAGGUUCAAGGUACCCGGCUGUCCUGGAGCGGGCUGCGCUGGGCUUGCUGGGACUCUCUCGGCUCUGCAUAGUUGCACUUGGCUUCACCCGUGUGACUUUCGUAACGGGGAGAGAGAGAAAAGAUCUCCUCAGGACCUCGGAUGGGCCUUACUGUGGCCUCUCUUUCCUUGAGGGGCGCAACAGGCCCUGGGCGGUGGGCAGUGAUUGGGUGUAGGGCCACCAGCUGCCUCACACACAUCUCUUCGCAGGCUCCCUCGGGCCCCCGUCUCCUGACUCCUUCCCUCACCAGGUGACAGGCCGCUGCGGCUCUGUGCUGGUACGCCUCAUCCCUGCACCCAGGGGCACUGGCAUCGUCUCCGCACCUGUGCCUAAGAAGCUGCUCAUGAUGGCUGGUAUCGAUGACUGCUACACCUCAGCCCGGGGCUGCACUGCCACCUUGGGCAACUUCGCCAAGGCCACCUUUGAUGCCAUUUCUAAGACCUACAGCUACCUGACCCCCGACCUCUGGAAGGAGACUGUAUUUACCAAGUCUCCCUAUCAGGAAUUCACUGACCACCUCGUCAAGACCCACACCAGAGUCUCCGUGCAGCGGACUCAGGCUCCAGCUGUGGCUACAACAUAGGGUUUUUAUACAAGAAAAAUAAAGUGAAUUAAGCGUG